rnacentral:rRNA from 1 species
GGUUAAGCGACUAAGCGUACACGGUGGAUGCCCUGGCAGUCAGAGGCGAUGAAGGACGUGCUAAUCUGCGAAAAGCGCCGGCGAGGUGAUAUGAACCCUUGACCCGGCGAUGUCCGAAUGGGGAAACCCAGUGUGAUUCGUCACACUAUCGUUAACUGAAUACAUAGGUUAACGAGGCGAACCGGGGGAACUGAAACAUCUAAGUACCCCGAGGAAAAGAAAUCAACCGAGAUUCCCCCAGUAGCGGCGAGCGAACGGGGAGCAGCCCAGAGUCUGAAUCAGCUUGUGUGUUAGUGGAAGCGUCUGGAAAGUCGCACGGUACAGGGUGACAGUCCCGUACACGAAAAUGCACAGGCUGUGAACUCGAAGAGUAGGGCGGGACACGUGGUAUCCUGUCUGAAUAUGGGGGGACCAUCCUCCAAGGCUAAAUACUCCUGACUGACCGAUAGUGAACCAGUACCGUGAGGGAAAGGCGAAAAGAACCCCGGCGAGGGGAGUGAAAAAGAACCUGAAACCGUGUACGUACAAGCAGUGGGAGCACCUUCGGGUGUGACUGCGUACCUUUUGUAUAAUGGGUCAGCGACUUAUAUUCUGUAGCAAGGUUAACCGUAUAGGGGAGCCGAAGGGAAACCGAGUCUUAACUGGGCGUUAAGUUGCAGGGUAUAGACCCGAAACCCGGUGAUCUAGCCAUGGGCAGGUUGAAGGUUGGGUAACACUAACUGGAGGACCGAACCGACUAAUGUUGAAAAAUUAGCGGAUGACUUGUGGCUGGGGGUGAAAGGCCAAUCAAACCGGGAGAUAGCUGGUUCUCCCCGAAAGCUAUUUAGGUAGCGCCUCGUGAACUCAUCUUCGGGGGUAGAGCACUGUUUCGGCUAGGGGGCCAUCCCGGCUUACCAACCCGAUGCAAACUACGAAUACCGAAGAAUGUUAUCACGGGAGACACACGGCGGGUGCUAACGUCCGUCGUGAAGAGGGAAACAACCCAGACCGCCAGCUAAGGUCCCAAAGUCAUGGUUAAGUGGGAAACGAUGUGGGAAGGCCCAGACAGCCAGGAUGUUGGCUUAGAAGCAGCCAUCAUUUAAAGAAAGCGUAAUAGCUCACUGGUCGAGUCGGCCUGCGCGGAAGAUGUAACGGGGCUAAACCAUGCACCGAAGCUGCGGCAGCGACACUAUGUGUUGUUGGGUAGGGGAGCGUUCUGUAAGCCGUUGAAGGUGGCCUGUGAGGGUUGCUGGAGGUAUCAGAAGUGCGAAUGCUGACAUAAGUAACGAUAAAGCGGGUGAAAAGCCCGCUCGCCGGAAGACCAAGGGUUCCUGUCCAACGUUAAUCGGGGCAGGGUGAGUCGACCCCUAAGGCGAGGCCGAAAGGCGUAGUCGAUGGGAAACAGGUUAAUAUUCCUGUACUUGGUGUUACUGCGAAGGGGGGACGGAGAAGGCUAUGUUAGCCGGGCGACGGUUGUCCCGGUUUAAGCAUGUAGGCGGAGGUUCCAGGUAAAUCCGGUACCUUUUUAACGCUGAGGUGUGAUGACGAGGCACUACGGUGCUGAAGUAACAAAUGCCCUGCUUCCAGGAAAAGCCUCUAAGCAUCAGGUAACACGAAAUCGUACCCCAAACCGACACAGGUGGUCAGGUAGAGAAUACCAAGGCGCUUGAGAGAACUCGGGUGAAGGAACUAGGCAAAAUGGUGCCGUAACUUCGGGAGAAGGCACGCUGAUAUGUAGGUGAAGCCCCUGCGGGUGGAGCUGAAAUCAGUCGAAGAUACCAGCUGGCUGCAACUGUUUAUUAAAAACACAGCACUGUGCAAACACGAAAGUGGACGUAUACGGUGUGACGCCUGCCCGGUGCCGGAAGGUUAAUUGAUGGGGUUAGCGGUAACGCGAAGCUCUUGAUCGAAGCCCCGGUAAACGGCGGCCGUAACUAUAACGGUCCUAAGGUAGCGAAAUUCCUUGUCGGGUAAGUUCCGACCUGCACGAAUGGCGUAAUGAUGGCCAGGCUGUCUCCACCCGAGACUCAGUGAAAUUGAACUCGCUGUGAAGAUGCAGUGUACCCGCGGCAAGACGGAAAGACCCCGUGAACCUUUACUAUAGCUUGACACUGAACACUGGUCCUUGAUGUGUAGGAUAGGUGGGAGGCUUUGAAGCGUGGACGCCAGUCUGCGUGGAGCCAACCUUGAAAUACCACCCUUUAAUGGCUGGUGUUCUAACGUAGACCCGUGAUCCGGGUUGCGGACAGUGUCUGGUGGGUAGUUUGACUGGGGCGGUCUCCUCCCAAAGAGUAACGGAGGAGCACGAAGGUUAGCUAAUCCUGGUCGGACAUCAGGAGGUUAGUGCAAUGGCAUAAGCUAGCUUGACUGCGAGAGUGACGGCUCGAGCAGGUGCGAAAGCAGGUCAUAGUGAUCCGGUGGUUCUGAAUGGAAGGGCCAUCGCUCAACGGAUAAAAGGUACUCCGGGGAUAACAGGCUGAUACCGCCCAAGAGUUCAUAUCGACGGCGGUGUUUGGCACCUCGAUGUCGGCUCAUCACAUCCUGGGGCUGAAGUAGGUCCCAAGGGUAUGGCUGUUCGCCAUUUAAAGUGGUACGCGAGCUGGGUUUAGAACGUCGUGAGACAGUUCGGUCCCUAUCUGCCGUGGGCGCUGGAGAAUUGAGGGGGGCUGCUCCUAGUACGAGAGGACCGGAGUGGACGCAUCACUGGUGUUCGGGUUGUCAUGCCAAUGGCACUGCCCGGUAGCUAAAUGCGGAAGAGAUAAGUGCUGAAAGCAUCUAAGCACGAAACUUGCCCCGAGAUGAGUUCUCCCUGAGACUUAAAGUCUCCUGAAGGAACGUUGAAGACGACGACGUUGAUAGGUCGGGUGUGUAAGCGCAGCGAUGCGUUGAGCUAACCGAUACUAAUGAACCGUGAGGCUUAACCUU